rnacentral:rRNA from 1 species
UACGGGGGGGGCAAGCCUUGUUCGGAAUUACUGGGCGUAAAGGGCUCGUAGGCGGCCAACUAAGUCGGACGUGAAAUCCCUCGGCUUAACCGGGGAACUGCGUCCGAUACUGGAUGGCUUGAGAUUGGGAGAGGGAUGCGGAAUUCCAGGUGUAGCGGUGAAAUGCGUAGAUAUCUGGAGGAACACCGGUGGCGAAGGCGGCAUUCUGGACUGUAACUGACACUGAGGAACGAAAGCCAGGGGAGCAAACGGG